rnacentral:lncRNA from 10 species
ACAACCAAACGAAAACAAAUACAGGAGCAAGAGAAUAAGGACAAUUCUAAACCCAGAUUUUCUAUUUGACCCUCAGUCUCUAGAAAGUUUGACAUCCUAGAUGAAGAACAAAAGUAAGUUGAACACGGACACAGAGAGAGGAACAACAUACACCGGGCCUGUCGGGGGGUGGGGAGGGAGGGAGAAUAUUAGGAAAAAUAGCCAAUGCAUGCUGGGCUUAAUAUCUAGGUGACUGGUGGAUAGGUGCAGCAAACCACCACGGCACACAUUUACCUACGUAACAAACCCGCACAUGUACCCCAGAAUUAAAAAUAAAAAAAAUUUAAAUUAAAAAAGUAGAGACUCUUCAAAGUGAGAAGGUAUGUCAGGCAGCUACUAUUAUUUUUCCUCCAAAUUAAUAAGUGUAAGGUACCUGUUUAAUCAGCUGGAGGUUAGAAAAAAAAUAAUAUAAAUAUUUUUCAUGGAAACAAACAAGACAAAACAACAACAACAAAAGUAAGUUGAAAGCCAUAUGUGUUAAGGUCACUCUUAGCAUUUUUACCUUACAUGACAAGCAGAGACCAGGAAAAGACAAGGACAUGAAUUUAAGGUACUCAAGUUCCAAAUACACGAAUCCAUUGCUAGUUGUUUCUUUUUCUCUCUUUUCUCAACAAGUUGGGGAACACAUGCAGAGGCAACAACAGCCACCGACUGAGUUGACUAUAUUCUCCAUGGGGCUGAGUAUGGACAAGGCGUAUUUCCCGGACGCCAUGGGCAGGGGGUCUCCAUCAAUGACGUGGAUAUUCAACACUACAGGGCCUGGCUCCCUGCUUGCGGAGGACUCAUGGGUCACCCUGAAUGGCCCAAACUCUCUGAUACCUGGCAGAGUGGUGGCGGUGGGCCUUAGGCAAGCCAGC